CUUCUGAUUCCAAUUGCAGAUCCAAGCCAGAUCUAUUCCGCCACUUUUGGAAGGCAAAAAUGUUCUUGGAGCUGCAAGGACAUGUUCUGGAAAGACCCUUGCUUUUCUGAUAUCUGCUGUGGAGUUGUUACAUCAAAUCUGAACGGGGGUAAUUGUCAACUGCCCAACUAGGGAACUUGCCAUACAGACACAUGCAAUGGCAAAGGACCUUCUUAAUCAUCAUUCACAAACUCUUGGCUUGGUUAUUGGUGGUGCAGCUCACAGGGGAGAAGCAGAGCGUAUUGUGAAAGGAGUAAAUCUGUUAGUAGCAACCCCUGGCUGACUUCUUGACCACCUACAGAACACUAAGGGAUUCAUAUAUAAAAAUCUAAAG